rnacentral:rRNA from 1 species
AUUGAACGCUGGCGGCAGGCCUAACACAUGCAAGUCGAGCGGAGCGGCGGACGGGUGAGGAAUGCCUAGGAAUCUGCCUGGUAGUGGGGGAUAACGUCCGGAGACGGGAGAUAAUACCGCAUACUAGCAGAUGAGCCUAGGUCGGAUUAGCUAGGUGGUGGGGUAGAGGCUUACCAAGGCGAAGAUCCGUAACUGGUCUGAGAGGAUGAUCAGUCACACUGGAACUGAGACACGGUCCAGAAUCCUACGGGAGGCAGCAGUGGGGAAUAUUCGACAAUGGGCGAAAGCCUGACCCAGCCAUGCCGCGUGUGUGAAGAAGGUCGUCGGAUUGUAAAGCACUUUAAGUUGGGAGGCGUUACCAACAGAAUAAGCCCCGGCUAACUUCGUGCCAGCAGCCGCGGUAAUUC